rnacentral:rRNA from 1 species
UACGGAGGGUGCGAGCGUUGUCCGGAAUCACUGGGCGUAAAGGGCGCGUAGGCGGCCCGGCAAGUCAACGGUGAAAGCUUGGGGCUCAACCCCGAGUCGGCCGUCGAUACUUCCGGGCUGGAGCACUGUAGAGGCAGGUGGAAUUCCGGGUGUAGCGGUGGAAUGCGUAGAGAUCCGGAAGAACACCGGUGGCGAAGGCGGCGAUCUGGGUCGAGUACUGACGCUGAGGUGCGAAAGCGUGGGGAGCAAACAGG